AUGAGCAGUUUUCACAUGAUGACGUUCCCCUUCCCCCGUCCCUUCUAUUUCGCAAUUGCGGCGGCGGCGGCGGCAGGGAUGGCACCGGAGGAAUGACCUGACUGCUAUGGCUACUUCUCUCGAGCGUGGUGUACUUCCCUUUCCCUCUCCCACGCGGUGGCGAACCGGAGGCGACGUGGGCGGUGCAAUGAUCGGGGCGAGCUCGGCGGCGCCAGCGGCCUUCUACGGCAUCCGUCUCCACCCUCGGCGGUCUUAUCGCUUGGGAAGGGGAAGAAACUAGGGAAGGAAAGGAAAAAAGAGAGGAGUUUAGGGAGUGAUGGAAGUGAUGCUGGAGACAGGCACCUGGCAGUGAGAUGAUGGAGGUGGAGAAGAAGGCCCAGCCGAUGACAUAGAAGAAGAGGAGAGCUCAAUGCCGCGGAGCAAAAGGAACAACAGUAGAGUAUCAGACUUUGAUUCAGCUGAGACAUUUUAGUUUUUUCGCAAGACAUGUGAAUCCUCUCUGCGUUUUUGCUUUUGUUUAGAAUUCACGAAUUUUCUUCCUUGUAGCUAUAAAUGAUGGUUCCGACUUAAUUGGAUGUUAGUAAUGACGUACAUAAACAAUCAAUCUAUACAGCUGUACCUAGCUGACAAUGCUAUGUCUCUGUUUGGACCUGGCUGACAAUGCUAACUCUCUGUAUAUUUGUAUUAUCGAAAUUUGCACAAACCUACAAGAAAAAUUUCUUCAAUUAAAGAUGAUUCAUUUUACGAGGAAUUUGUUUUAUAUUUAGUGAAUUUAUUAGGCAAACAAGGAAUUGGAAUUCUGCCAAGAAAUCUAGGAGCAGAAGAAGAUGCAAGACUUGCGGACUAGGCAAAUGCUGUGCAGGCGAGAAAAUGUUUGGAGCAAUUCGUGAUUAGUACCAGUUUCAAAUUAGAUUUAUUUCAAUUGCAAUGAGGUACAAGACUGGCCCUCUUCCUUGCUGUCUUAUCUUUAUUGUUUAUUUGGUUGAACUAGCAUAAACCUAACUUUUAAUAUUGAUGUGUUUCCGCCCAAUUUGUGUAGUAAGCCAUGCUAGUCAUCAAUUAAUCAAUCUCAAUGUUCCCUUAAUAGAUGGUUGCUAUUGAUUUGCUGUGGCUUAGCUAUCGAGGACAAAACAUUUCCCUUUCCCCCCUAAUAGUUGUUUAUUUGCUCCUUCUAGGAGGCCUGCAUUUUGCUAAUUGUCUAUUUGCUAGAGAAGUAGUGGCAAUGAACAUUUUUAUUCUGACGCAUUAUCUGAAUAGCUUCAGAAAUUCUUAACAUGAAAAUACAUAAUA